CCAGGUGUCCGAGGCCGCUGCUCGGGUGUCCCGCAGCUCUCAGGCCCUGGACAGAGCCCGGGGCACGGCCCUGACCCUGAACCGCUCCCUGCAGGGGCUGCAGCUCGAGCUCCACACCCUCAGGCACCAGCUCUCGUCCCUGGAGGCCGCCCUGGCCGAUGCCGAUGCCCGGGCAGGGUCUCACCUGUGCCAGGUGGGUGCCCAGGUGGGCGCGGCCGAGGCGGAGCUGCGGGAGGUGCGGGCGGAGCUGCGGGAGCUGCACGAGCGGCUGCGGGAGCUGCUCGGGGCCAAAGAGCGGCUCGAGGGGGAGAUCCGGACCUACAGAGCACCUCCUCGAGGGGGAUCAGGGGCUCAGCCUGAGGGACGCGCUGGACGAGGAGAACGAGGGGAGAGCACGGCGGGG